GACGAACGCUGGCGGCGUGCUUAACACAUGCAAGUCGAACGGAAAGGCCCUGCUUUUGUGGGGUGCUCGAGUGGCGAACGGGUGAGUAACACGUGAGUAACCUGCCCUUGACUUUGGGAUAACUUCAGGAAACUGGGGCUAAUACCGGAUAGGAGCUCCUGCUGCAUGGUGGGGGUUGGAAAGUUUCGGCGGUUGGGGAUGGACUCGCGGCUUAUCAGCUUGUUGGUGGGGUAGUGGCUUACCAAGGCUUUGACGGGUAGCCGGCCUGAGAGGGUGACCGGCCACAUUGGGACUGAGAUGCGGCCCAGACUCCUACGGGAGGCAGCAGUGGGGAAUAUUGCACAAUGGGCGGAAGCCUGAUGCAGCAACGCCGCGUGCGGGAUGACGGCCUUCGGGUUGUAAACCGCUUUCGCCUGUGACGAAGCGUGAAUGACGGUAAUGGGUAAAGAAGCACCGGCUAACUACGUG
rnacentral:rRNA from 1 species